UAUGAUCGUGACCUUUCCCGCCUUGAC
rnacentral:piRNA from 1 species